rnacentral:rRNA from 1 species
GAUGAACGCUGGCGGCGUGCCUAAUACAUGCAAGUCGAGCGAACAGAUGAGGAGCUUGCUCCUCUGACGGUAGCGGCGGACGGGUGAGUAACACGUGGAUAACCUACCUAUAAUACUGGGAUAACCUCGGGAAACCGGAGCUAAUACCGGAUAAUAUAUUGAACCGCAUGGUUCAAUAGUGAAAGACGGUUUUGCUGUCACUUAUAGAUGGAUCCGCGUCGCAUUAGCUAGUUGGUAAGGUAACGGCUUACCAAGGCUACGAUGCGUAGCCGAUCUGAGAGGAUGAUCAGCCACACUGGAACUGAGACACGGUCCAGACUCCUACGGGAGGCAGCAGUAGGGAAUAUUGCGCAAUGGGCGAAAGCCUGAUGGAGCAACGCCGCGUGAGUGAUGAAGGUCUUCGGAUCGUAAAACUCUGUUAUUAGGGAAGAAAAAAUGUGUAAGUAACUAUGCACGUCUUGACGGUACCUAAACAGAAAGCCACGGCUAACUACGUG